rnacentral:rRNA from 1 species
UUCGGGGUACACGAGCGGCGAACGGGUGAGUAACACGUGGGUGAUCUGCCCUGCACUUCGGGAUAAGCCUGGGAAACUGGGUCUAAUACCGGAUAUGACCUUGGACUGCAUGGUUCUUGGUGGAAAGGUUUACUGGUGCAGGAUGGGCCCGCGGCCUAUCAGCUUGUUGGUGGGGUAAUGGCCUACCAAGGCGACGACGGGUAGCCGGCCUGAGAGGGCGACCGGCCACACUGGGACUGAGACACGGCCCAGACUCCUACGGGAGGCAGCAGUGGGGAAUAUUGCACAAUGGGCGAAAGCCUGAUGCAGCGACGCCGCGUGAGGGAUGACGGCCUUCGGGUUGUAAACCUCUUUCAGCAGGGACGAAGCGAGAGUGACGGUACCUGCAGAAGAAGCACCGGCCAACUACGUGCCAGCAGCCGCGGUAAUACGUAGGGUGCGAGCGUUGUCCGGAAUUACUGGGCGUAAAGAGCUCGUAGGCGGUUUGUCGCGUCAUCCGUGAAAACUUGGGGCUCAACCCCAAGCUUGCGGGCGAUACGGGCAGACUUGAGUACUGCAGGGGAGACUGGAAUUCCUGGUGUAGCGGUGAAAUGCGCAGAUAUCAGGAGGAACACCGGUGGCGAAGGCGGGUCUCUGGGCAGUAACUGACGCUGAGGAGCGAAAGCGUGGGUAGCGAACAGGAUUAGAUACCCUGGUAGUCCACGCCCGU